AUGAAUGCAGAUGCUCCCUGCGAAGGGAUAGCGACGCACUUGGUGCUCACCGUGACUUUUAAAGAGGAAACCGUGCAGCCAGUCCACCUCCACGAGGCAGAGUCGAGUGUCAGCUUCUCCCCUUCUCCCUUCCUGGUGCUCAGAGGCCUCCGGGGUCAGGCCCUGCCCUGCUUCUGUGUUCGGGGGCCUCUAAGCCCCACCCUGCGCAGGCCCCCUGGAGGGAAGAGGCCGCUGAGGCCCCCGCGAUGCCCGGGCUGGUCACUGUGCCACGAAUCCUUCCCUCCCCGCGGUGCCCAGCUUGUCAGCACGUUCAGCCCGAGGGGACUGGCUGGGUUCCCGUAUGGCCUUCGAGGGGUGCAGAGACCACCCCGAUCUCAGUCGGGGGUGAGCGAUUCUGGGGCGGCAGGGAGCCUGUGCCGGAGCGGGGAGGGCAGAGAGGGGGCCGAGCGAGGCAGGUGGGGUGCUGCGCGGCCGCCGGGGGGGAAUGAGUGCGCAUUUUGGGCAGUCACUUUCUGAAGUGGCUUUAGCGGUUGACUUAAGGAAGAGGCCUCUUGGCAGAAGGAAAGAGGGAGGGUACAAUUUCCUCCCAUUAAUAACCCUGUGUUCGCGGGUUACCUUCUGGAGGGAUGCGUGCUUGCGGCCUGGGGCGGGUUUCCAGCUGCCUGCCGGACCGUGGGGGCUGCUAGAAGGGAUGGCUCUCCUCCCCCUUUAAAAGGCUCUUUCCUGGAGUUCCCAUCGUGGCUCAGUGGGUAAUGAAUCCGACUAGGAACCAUGAGCAUCCAUGGGAACCAUGGGUGAAGGAUCUGGCGUUGCCGUGAGCCGGGGUGUAGGUCCCAGAUGCAGCUCGGAUCCCGCGUUGCUGAGGCUCUGGCGUAGGCCGGCAGCUACAGCUCUGAUUUGACCCCUAGCCUGGGAACCUCCCUACGGUGGGAGCGGCCCUAGAAAGACCAAAAUAAAUAAAAAAAUAAAAGUCUCUUUCCUAGUCAUCUGACUGCCACCUAGGAAAGGGACAUGCUGCUGGCUCUUGGAUCUGAGGGGGGUCAAAGACAGAGCCUCGGCCCUUCCGUGGGCAGGUUUGCAGGAGGGAAGAGGAAGUGGCCUCUUGGACUGGUCCUGACUGAGCUCGCGCUUGUCUUGCUCCUGUCUGGAUCCCCACUGGGUCCAGUGGAUCUCGGGAGGCUCCUUCCAGCUCGGAAAUCCUCGAGAUCCCAUCUGCGCGCCGGGGAGAACCGUGCUUGAGUGUCUUUGGGGAGGUGGCCAUAAUGACGUCAUAAAGUAGUUCAGGGGACCCUGUGCAAAAAUGUUAAAGGAAUUUGCGCCUCCCCUGACUCUGGAAUGACCUCUGCG
rnacentral:lncRNA from 1 species